GGGCCCGCACAAGCGGUGGAGCAUGUGGUUUAAUUCGAUGCAACGCGAAGAACCUUACCUACCCUUGACAUCCUCGGAAUCUGCCGGAGACGGCGGAGUGCCUUCGGGAACCGAGUGACAGGUGCUGCAUGGCUGUCGUCAGCUCGUGUUGUGAAAUGUUGGGUUAAGUCCCGUAACGAGCGCAACCCCCUGUCCCUAUUUUGCCAGCGAUUCGGUCGGGAACUCUAGGGAGACUGCCGUGACAAACCGGAGGAAGGUGGGGACGACGUCAAGUCAUCAUGGCCCUUACGGGUUGGGCUACACACGUGCUACAAUGGUGGUGACAAUGGGUUAAUCCCAAAAAGCCAUCUCAGUU
rnacentral:rRNA from 1 species